rnacentral:tRNA from 1 species
UCUUGAUUGGUCCAGUGAUCAGGAUACCUGUUUGUCAGGCAGGUGGCCGGGGUUCGAUUCCCUGAUCGAGAG